UAAAAAUAUCGACGUUCGUAAGUUUUCUUUUUGUUAGUAUAUUAGCAAAGAACAAGCAAACUCACUUGAAAGUGCGACAUACGAUAGACAACUGGAUCACAAGUAUUGGAUACCGAGAACUGACACUCCCAAGACUGUAUUAUAGUAGGGAUAAAAAUAUGUACAGUAGAAAACUAUGGAGUUACUAUAAUAUUAAUUUGUAAAAAGUAGAUACGCAUACGAUUUCCCUAUUCCGACGCGAGUACGCAUAUUUCUUUGUAUGAUGUUUUGAAAAUUUCGCAAUUAAUGGGCGGCAUUUUUUGUCUCAGCGAUAAAAUUAUGAUAAACGCCAGCGAAAGCUUUUCAUUAACGUAAUGCGGAAUACGUAAGUAAAAAGCUGCUGGACUCAAUCUAUGUUUUGUCAUACGAAAUGGAGAAGCGGUUUUCAAAAUCUUGCUAGAUCAUACAAUAGUGUGGCUUGUAAUGCAUUAUACAUACCAGUUCUAGCAUAUCGAGAUGCCUUCGUCAAUUCGUAGACACUGGCUGCCAACGUUAAUAUAUCUGUGCUGUACGUCUAGCUGCUCCACUUCCAUUUCUAAGGCUCAAACCUCCACCAUAAAGUACAGAAAAUAGACGUGGGAUCGGAAGUGGUACAGGAACUGGCAUUACUGGUGGGAAUACUCCAGAUCUUACUGUACCAGGAUUUGGUACUAUUCCCGAAUUAAAAAUGGAGGAAAAUGAACGUCACUUUUUCAGAAAUGAAGUCGGGAGCCACGUUUGCUUACCUUGCUAACAGAG